UACGUAGGGGGCAAGCGUUGUCCGGAAUCAUUGGGCGUAAAGAGCGCGUAGGCGGUCCGGUAAGUCCGCUGUGAAAGUCAAGGGCUCAACCCUUGAAUGCCGGUGGAUACUGUCGGGCUAGAGUCCGGAAGAGGCGAGUGGAAUUCCUGGUGUAGCGGUGAAAUGCGUAGAGCUCGGGAAGAACAUCGGUGGCGAAAGCGCUCUGCUGGACUGCAACUGACACUCAGGGACGAAAGCUAGGGGAGCGAAUGGG
rnacentral:rRNA from 1 species